GUGGGGAAUUUUGGACAAUGGGCGCAAGCCUGAUCCAGCAAUGCCGCGUGCAGGAAGAAGGCCUUCGGGUUGUAAACUGCUUUUGUACGGAACGAAAAGGCUCUGGUUAAUACCUGGGGCUCAUGACGGUACCGUAAGAAUAAGCACCGGCUAACUACGUGCCAGCAGCCGCGGUAAUACGUAGGGUGCAAGCGUUAAUCGGAAUUACUGGGCGUAAAGCGUGCGCAGGCGGUUUUGUAAGACAGACGUGAAAUCCCCGGGCUCAACCUGGGAAUGGCGUUUGUGACUGCAAAGCUGGAGUGCGGCAGAGGGGGAUGGAAUUCCGCGUGUAGCAGUGAAAUGCGUAGAUAUGCGGAGGAACACCGAUGGCGAAGGCAAUCCCCUGGGCCUGCACUGACGCUCAUGCACGAAAGCGUGGGGAGCAAACAGGAUUAGAAACCCUGGUAGUCC
rnacentral:rRNA from 1 species